GACAAUAUGGCCUAGUGGUUUGAGUGUUGGACUAUGGCUCUGGAGACCAGGGUUCAAUUCCCUCCUCAGCCA